GGCGGCGCCUCCCCGAGCCGCGCGCGGGACUCGAACCCUGGCCCGGCCCCGCCGCUGGUGCCCUGGACCCCCGGCCCGGGCCGCCCUGGAGUUGUUCAAAGUUCUCCACGCGGCGUUGGUGGCCCGCCGGUGAGGAGCGGACUGCAGUUCCCAACCACUGCUGCUUUUUCGGACAGUUACCACCAAUAAAACAAACGAAAACGUUUCGGAUUUCCCCCUUAAUUGUUACCUGCAGACAGUCACACCUAAGUUUUUAAGUUUUCCCUUUAUGUACUAGCCUCACCCCGGGGGUGGAGUAUGAGAAAGGAACUGUAUUCUGAUAGGACUCCCUGUGGUUGGUUGGAACUUGCAUUUAGGCAUUUAUUUCAGUGCAUAUUCUGGAAUUAGAAGCUGAAGGGAAAGUUUAUCGUGUCAAAGAGUAAAUCUUUACUGUCGUCUUUAUUUUCGUUUCGUUUAAUCCUGAAAAACAUUCUCGAGGGUUGAUACAGUCACAAAAUCCACAAAGUAUAAAAGGGAUAUUCAAAGCCUCUCUCCCCACCCAAGUUGGGCACCCGCACAAUAUUUCAAUUUCCUGUAUAUCCCUUCAGAGAUUAUGUACUUGGGGAUGCCUCUUCUGCUUCCUCUUAAAAGUGGAGUUGCUUUUAUGAAAUGCCUAGCAGAUUUGCUGAUGCGCAAUAAAUGUUAAUUUUUCAUAGA
rnacentral:lncRNA from 1 species